GUGCUCGCUUCAUCAGCAUAUAUACUAAGGAUUGGAGCGAUACAGAGAUGAUUAGCAUGUCCCCUGUGCAAGGAUGACAUGCAGAUUUGUGAAGCAUUCCAUAUUUUU
rnacentral:snRNA from 1 species